rnacentral:pre_miRNA from 1 species
ACAGUACUCCCUCCAUCCGAAAAUACUUGUCAUUAAAAUGGAUAAAAAGAGAUGUAUCUAGAACUAAAAUACGUCUAGAUACAUCCCCUUUUAUCUAUUUUGAUGACAAGUAUUUUCGGACGAAGGGAGUAGUAC